CGUCUCCCUCCUGAGCGACCCCCACCUGUCCCACCUGGAGCUCCCCCAGGUGCUCCUCCUCUGCCAGGUGAGGGGGCAGGGCUCCGACGAGGCCACCCUCACCUGGUUGGUCAACGGUGACGUCACCGAUCUGGGGGCGGAGCUCUCCACCUGCCAGGAGGGCGGGGCCGGGGAGAUGACGCUGAGCGGCCGCGUCAACGUCAGCCGGGAAUUGUGGGAGGCGGGAGCCACCUUCACCUGCCAGGCCAGCCACGCCCAGCUGGCCACGCCCCAGAACGCCUCCAUCAGCACCUUCUGCAAAGCUCCCCGUCCCUCCCCUUCCAUCUCCCUCCUCCCUCCCUCCCUCCUGGACCUCUACCUGUCCGCCACGCCCAACAUCACCUGCGUGGCCACCAACCUGAAAUCCCCGGAGCCCAAAUUCACCUGGAGACGCUCCUCGGGCGGGGCCCUGGGCGUGGCCACUUCCGGCCCCGCCCAGAAACUCCCCAACGGCUUCUACGAGGUGCGGAGCCACCUGGGGAUCUGCGCCGAGGAUUGGAACUCGGGCGACGCCUUCACCUGCUCCGUCAGCGCCGAGGAGCUGGGGCCGACGCCCAUGGUCGGAACCAUCCGGAAGGACACCGGCGCCCCCGCCGUGGCCCCCAAGGUCUUCGUCUUCCCUCCGCCGCCGGAAGAGCUGGCGCUGGCCGAGACGGCCACCUUGACCUGCCUGGCCAGCGGCUUCUUCCCGCGGGACAUCCUCCUCACCUGGACCCGCCAGGACGCCCCCCUGGACCCCCGCGACUACUCCCUGCUGGGCCCCCAGCCCGACGCCGGCGCUUCCGGAACCUUCUCGCUCUACUCCAAGCUGUCGGUGCCGGCGGAGCAAUGGCGGCGCGGCGACGUCUUCACCUGCGUGGUGGGGCACGACGGCGUGGCCGUGAGGUUCGUCCAGAGGAGCCUGGACAGGACGGCGGCGCGGCCGGCCAGCGUCAACGUCUCGGUGGUGCUGGCCGACUCCGACCUCGUCUGCUACUGACGUGGAAUUUUCCGGAAUUUUCCGGGAUUUUUCCGGGAUUUUUCUGGAAUUUUCCGUGAAUUUUCUGCGAUUUUUCCGGGAGUUUUUUCCCGCUAGCUUUUGUGAAUUUUCGCGAAAUUUUUUUUUGUGGAUUUUCACAGAUUUUCAUGAAUAAAAUCAGAUUCGGAGAAACUGAA